rnacentral:rRNA from 1 species
UACAGAGGUCUCAACCGUUGUUCGGAUUCAUUGGGCGUAAAGGGUGCGUAGGCGGUCGUGCAAGUCGGAUGUGAAAUCUCAGGGCUCAACCCUGAAACUGCAUUCGAUACUGCGCGGCUAGAAUGCUGGAGGGGAGACUGGAAUUUACGGUGUAGCAGUGAAAUGCGUAGAUAUCGUAAGGAAGACCAGUGGCGAAGGCGAGUCUCUGGACAGCAACUGACGCUGAGGCACGAAGGCCAGGGGAGCAAACGGG